rnacentral:rRNA from 1 species
UGAGCAAUCUGCCCUUCUCAUCGGAAUAAGCGUUGGAAACGACGUCUAAUGCCGAAUACGACCUCCUUUCGCAUGAUCGGAGGUGAAAAGCUCCGGCGGAGAAGGAUGAGCUCGCGGCCUAUCAGCUAGUUGGUGUGGGUAAUGGCCCACCAAGGCGACGACGGGUAGCCGGCCUGAGAGGGUGACCGGCCACACUGGGACUGAGACACGGCCCAGACCUCCGUACGGGAGCAG